rnacentral:rRNA from 1 species
AUAGUAACUGAUCGAAUCGCAUGGUUUUAUGCUGGCGAAUAGUUCAUUCAAAUUUCUGCCCUAUCAGCUUUCGACGGUAGUUGUAGCGGACUACCGUGGCGUUAACGGGUGACGGAGAAAUUAGGGUUCGAUUCCGGAGAGGGAGCUGAGAAACGGUACCACAUCCAAGGAAGGCAGCAGGCGCGCAAAAUUACCCAAUCCUGACACAGGGAGGUAGUGACAAAGAAAUAACAAUACCGGGCCUUUCCAGGUCUGGUAAUUGGAAUGAGUACAAUUUAAAUCCCUUAACAAGGAUCCAUUGGAGGGCAAGUCUGGUGCAGCAGCCGCGGUAAUUCCAGCUCCAAUAGCGUAUAUUAAUGUUGCUGCAGUUAAAAAGCUCGUAGUUGGAUU